CAUAUGGUUUUGGAAAACAGAGCUAAUCCUCAUACUACCAUAUGGUUUUGGAAAACAAUGAACCUCACCGAGUGUAUGUGCAAGUCAACGCUUUUGACCCGUGGGUUUGUGGGCCCCAGCCUAUGGGUGUCCCGUGUCCAUACGAGGUGAGAUUAUGUGAUGAAUUGUCACGGUCUAAUAUGAUAUCAGAGCCAAAGGUGGUUCCUGGUAUGUAAUAUUUGAGGAAUUUAAUACUUUGAAAUUGAAAAAUUUAUAAUAAAUAUUUGAACGAGGAUUAAUAUGGGUUGAGUGAAUAAAUAAUUGUGCAUGAUAAACUAAGAAACAUUUGCGCCUAAGUUUAUGACUAAUAAUAUUAUUAUAUAAAUCUCUUUUAAUUUUAUUAGUUCUUUCCUUUUCUUUUCUCUUUUCUUUUCUCUUUUCUUAUUUGAACGCCCAUUUCUAAUGACUAAACCAAAAAUCAGAAAAAUUGUUUUUCCUCAUUUCCUAUUCACCGUCUUCCUCAACACUAAUUUUUUUUCUCAAACCAUAAUUCCAUGAACUUCAAGAAUUGAAACAAUUGCUUCCCUUUUCAAACCAUUCGAACCCCUGCCACUCAUCCCUGUUCUCCUUCGCCUGAUUUCGAAGCACAACCCUAACCCUAUCUUCUUCAUCUGAUUUCGAAGCAACAAUGGCUUUAUUCAUUUGAUUUCGCUCCUUGUUUUUCUCUCUGCAAAUCUAAAUACCCUUUCAAUUUCUGAGUUUCGAAACCCAAAGCAGCCAGCUACUUUCUUCUCUUGAUGAAUCUCAUAUUCUACCUCGAAUUUUCGCAAGAGACACAACAGAUCUUCCUUCCAAGCCUUUGAUUCUGGCGCAAAAAGGAGCAGGAGGCGACCUAGUUGAGGAAUCCUUCUAAUCGAUAGCUGUGAUUUGGAUUCGACUUUUUGAAGUAUAUUUUGUGUUUGUUUACAGAUCGGAACCAGUCGGGAACGAUAGGUUAGCGAAGUUGAUUAGAGUUUUAAGGAUGUUAUAUUGAGCUGAGCAUGUUAGAAUUUUGUAGUUUUGUAUUAGGCUUUGGUAAUUGUAUAUUAGUUUAGACUGUAUUGGUUAUGUUGGACUUUUACAAAGACUUUUAUGAUUAUUUUAUGAAUUAGAUAGAUGUUUGGAUUGAGAAUUAGCUGAUUUAGCUAUGAUUUAGAACUAAAGUUUUAUUUGGACAAGUUUUGGGAUUGAGAAUUGAGUUUUUGAGAAGUAAACUCCGUGAUGACCCUAUUUACUCAGUCAACAGUAAGUUGGGUUGUUACAAUGAUGUGGCUCAUAUGUGAGGGGGAGUGCUAGAAAUACUUCACAUGUGAGAUAAGAUCCCACAUCGAUAAAAUAGUGGGUUGUGGACUUGCAUAUAUAUUGGAUGAGCUAAUCCUCCAACUACCAUAUGGUUUUGGGAAACAAUGAACCUCACUGAGUGUAUGUGCAAGUCAACGCUCUUGACCUGUGGGUUUGUGGGCCGAGCCCACGGGUGUCCCGUGUCCAAAUGAGUGGGCCACGGUGAGAUUAUGUGACGAAUUGUUACGGCCUAAUAAAAGCUUAUAGUCAAUAAAAAAAAUCUUUUUUUUCAAACACACCCAUAAUAUUUAGGGGUGUUUAAAAAUAUCUAAUUCAAAUUAUCUGAUUCGGAAUCUGAUUUUAAAAAUUGGAUAAUUUAUCCGAUUGUUAAACUAGAUACCG